rnacentral:rRNA from 1 species
AUGAACGCUAGCGGCAGGCUUAACACAUGCAAGUCGAGGGGUAACAGGAGAGCUUGCUCUUGCUGACGACCGGCGCACGGGUGCGUAACGCGUAUACAAUCUGCCUUACACUGAGGGAUAGCCCAGAGAAAUUUGGAUUAAUACCUCAUGGUAUUUAUUAUUUGCAUGAAUUAUAAAUUAAAGGUUACGGUGUAAGAUGAGUAUGCGUCUUAUUAGCUAGAUGGUAAGGUAACGGCUUACCAUGGCAACGAUAAGUAGGGGCCCUGAGAGGGGGACCCCCACACUGGUACUGAGACACGGACCAGACUCCUACGGGAGCAGCAGUGAGGAAUAUUGGACAAUGGGUGAGAGCCUGAUCCAGCCAUGCCGCGUGCAGGAAGACUGCCCUAUGGGUUGUAAACUGCUUUUAUAAAGGAAGAACACAGAGUACGUGUACUUUACUGACGGUGCUUUAUGAAUAAGCAUCGGCUAACUCCGUGCCAGCAGCC